GCGGGGAUAGCUUAGCUGGGAGAGCGUUAGACUGAAGUGAAAUUUCAUUCGUACAUCUGAAGGUCGUGUGUUCGAUCCACACUCACCGCA